rnacentral:rRNA from 1 species
UACGGAGGAUGCGAGCGUUAUCCGGAUUUAUUGGGUUUAAAGGGUGCGUAGGCGGAUCGUUAAGUCAGUGGUCAAAUUGAGGGGCUCAACCCCUUCCCGCCAUUGAAACUGGCGAUCUUGAGUGGAAGAGAAGUAUGCGGAAUGCGUGGUGUAGCGGUGAAAUGCAUAGAUAUCACGCAGAACCCCGAUUGCGAAGGCAGCAUGCCGGCUUCUGACUGACGCUGAAGCACGAAAGCGUGGGGAUCGAACAGG